GUUAAUGUAGCUUAAACCAAAGCGAGGCACUGAAAAUGCCUAGAUGGAUAUCUAAUAUCCCAUAAACA
rnacentral:tRNA from 1 species